rnacentral:rRNA from 1 species
CAAGAGCGUAUAUUAAAGUUGCUGCGGUUAAAAAGCUCGUAGUUGGAUUUCAGUCUAGGAAGGUUAACUCGCCGAAAGGUUGUACGUUGAUUUUCCUCAGACUUCGUCAGAAGCUCGUGCUGCACUUAACUGUGUGGUACGAUGUUCUGACCUUUUACCUUGAGGAAAGUAGAGUGUUUCAGGCAGGCUACCCAGCUUGAAUACAUUAGCAUGGAAUAAUGAAAUGGAUCUCGGUUCGAUUUCGUUGGUUCUAGAGCUGAGGUGAUGACCAAUAGGAACAGGCGAAGGUAUUCGUACUUGAGAGUGAGGAGUGAAAUCCGAUGAUCUCUUAAAGACGAUCCGAGGCGAAAGCAUUUGUCAAGGAUGUUUUCAUUGA